GACGAACGAUAGCUACAGGCUUAACACAUGCAAGUCGAGGGACCGGCGCACGGGUGAGUAAUACGUAUCCAACCUGCCCUUUACUCGGGGAUAGCCUUUCGAAAGAAAGAUUAAUACCCGAUGGAAAGGAUGGGGAUGCGUUCCAUUAGGUUGUUGGUGAGGUAACGGCUCACCAAGCCUUCGAUGGAUAGGGGUUAUGAGAGGAAGGUCCCCCACAUUGGAACUGAGACACGGUCCAAACUCGUACGGGAGGCAGCAGUGAGGAAUAUUGGUCAAUGGGCGUUAGCCUGAACCAGCCAAGUAGCGUGAAGGAUGAAGGCUUAUGGGUCGUAAACUUCUUUUAUAGAAGAAUAUGUAUUAUAUGAAUAAGGAUCGGCUAACUCCGUGCCAGCAGCCGCGGUAAUUC
rnacentral:rRNA from 1 species